AAGAAACCAACAGGGAUUGCCUUAGUAACGGCGAGUGAAGCGGCAACAGCCCAGAUUUGAAAUCUGGCUUCUUUUAGGAGUCCGAGUUGUAAUCUGUAGAGGAUGUCGCUGGCUAACAGCCCUCCCGAAGUCCUCUGGAACGAGGUGCCUUAGAGGGUGAGAGCCCCGUACGGGAGGAUUGAAAAGUCAAGAUGCGACUCCUUCGGCGAGUCGAGUAGUUUGGGAAUGCUGCUCUAAAUGGGAGGUAAAUUCCUUCUAAGGCUAAAUAUUGGCCGGAGACCGAUAGCGCACAAGUAGAGUGAUCGAAAGAUGAAAAGCACUUUGGAAAGAGGGUUAAACAGUACGUGAAAUUGUUGAAAGGGAAGCGCCCGUGACCAGACUUGCACUCAGCCAAUCGCCCCACGCUCGUCGCGGGGUCUCUUGGCUGUAGUACAGGCCAGCAUCGAUUUUUGCUGGGGGAUAAGCACAAUGGAAAUGUAGCUCUUUUCGAGGAGUGUUAUAGCCCGCUGUCCAGUACCCUGGUGGAGAUCGAGGCCCGCGCAAUUGCACGGAUGCUGGCGUAAUGGUCACUGGCGACCCGUCUUGAAACACGGACCAAGGAGUCGAGGUUUUCCGCGAGUGUGUGGGUGAUAGACCCGCCCGCGAAAUGAAAGUGAACGUAGGUGAGAGCCUUUAUUGGUGCACCACCGACCGAUCCUGAUGUUUUCGGAAGGAAUCGAGUAUGAGCGGAGGGCCUCGGACCCGAAAGAUGACGAACUAUGCCUGCAUAGAAUGAAGCCAGAGGAAACUCUGGUGGAGGUUCGCAGCGGUUCUGACGUGCAAAUCGAUCGUCAAAUGUGGGCAUGGGGGCGAAAGACUAAUCGAGUCAUCUAGUAGCUGGUUACCGCC
rnacentral:rRNA from 1 species